GUGGGAAUAUUGGACAAUGGGCGCAAGCCUGAUCCAGCCAUGCCGCGUGAGUGAUGAAGGCCUUAGGGUUGUAAAGCUCUUUCGUCAGGGAAGAUAAUGACGGUACCUGAAGAAGAAGCCCCGGCUAACUUCGUGCCAGCAGCCGCGGUAAUACGAAGGGGGCUAGCGUUGCUCGGAAUCACUGGGCGUAAAGCGCACGUAGGCGGCUUUCUAAGUCAGGGGUGAAAUCCUGGAGCUCAACUCCAGAACUGCCUUUGAUACUGGAGAGCUUGAGUUCGGGAGAGGUGAGUGGAACUGCGAGUGUAGAGGUGAAAUUCGUAGAUAUUCGCAAGAACACCAGUGGCGAAGGCGGCUCACUGGCCCGAUACUGACGCUGAGGUGCGAAAGCGUGGGGAGCAAACAGGAUUAGAAACCCCAGUAGUCC
rnacentral:rRNA from 1 species